GAUGAACGCUGGCGGCGUGCCUAAUACAUGCAAGUCGAGCGAACAGAUGAGGAGCUUGCUCCUCUGACGUUAGCGGCGGAUGGGUGAGUAACACGUGGAUAACCUACCUAUAAGACUGGGAUAACUUCGGGAAACCGGAGCUAAUACCGGAUAAUAUAUUGAACCGCAUGGUUCAAUAGUGAAAGACGGUUUUGCUGUCACUUAUAGAUGGAUCCGCGCCGCAUUAGCUAGUUGGUAAGGUAACGGCUUACCAAGGCGACGAUGCGUAGCCGACCUGAGAGGGUGAUCGGCCACACUGGAACUGAGACACGGUCCAGACUCCUACGGGAGGCAGCAGUAGGGAAUCUUCCGCAAUGGGCGAAAGCCUGACGGAGCAACGCCGCGUGAGUGAUGAAGGUCUUCGGAUCGUAAAACUCUGUUAUUAGGGAAGAACAAAUGUGUAAGUAACUAUGCACGUCUUGACGGUACCUAAUCAGAAAGCCACGGCUAACUACGUG
rnacentral:rRNA from 1 species